CUUUGUUCCUGUAGGUUAUUUCAAGGAACAACAGAGGUACCUGGACUAAGAGCGUUGUCUCAUGGAUGCAACAGGACGCAAACGGAAUCUGCCCGGAUCAACUUCUCCAAAUGCUUCGCGUAUUUCCCAGCGACGUAGGAUUGUUCCGACCAUUCCAGAUGAAAGCACCAAUCCGCCUAUUUGUGAUGAAACUGUUGUUAAAGCUCAAGCCGGUCGUGAUGAAUGC